AAUACGUGCAAUUUUGCACUGUUCAUAUUUAACGUUUGACCAUUCAUCUUAUUUGAAAUUUUUUUAUGAUUAAUAUUUUUAUUGUUAUUAGAUGAUAAAACAUCAAUAGUACUUUAUGUGCGUGUGUUCAUGGGGGUGAGUGGCGUGCGUUGUGAGUGUCUGCGUAGUACUGUGUAAUUCUAAAAAAAAGUACUUUAUGUGUGACAUUUUUUAAAUUUUUUUCAUAAAUUUUUAAAUAAGAUGAACGGUCAAAGAUUAGACGUGGAUUUUUAUGGCUGCACUUAUU
rfam:Oryza rufipogon genomic scaffold, chr01